rnacentral:rRNA from 1 species
UACGACUACAUAUCAGGCAUAUCAAUAAGCGGAGGAAAAGAAACUAACAAGGAUUCCCUUAGUAACGGCGAGUGAAGCGGGAAGAGCUCAAAUUUGAAAUCUUAAAGGGUUUCCCUUUACGAAUUGUAGUUUAAAGAAGUGUUUUCUGUUAGAGAGGUGGUAAAAGUUCUUUGGAAUAGGACAUCAUAGAGGGUGAGAAUCCCGUAUUUGAUCACUUUCUACUAACGUUGUGAUACACUUUCAACGAGUCGGAUUGUUUGGGAAUGCAGUCCAAAAUGGGUGGUAAAUUUCAUCUAAAGCUAAAUAUUGGCGAGAGACCGAUAGCGAACAAGUACCGUGAGGGAAAGAUGAAAAGAACUUUGAAAAGAGAGUUAAACAGUACGUGAAAUUGUCAAAAGGGAAGCGUUUGACACCAGUGUUGUUUAGUUCGAAAAUCAAUUAAUAGGUCUUGAUUUGUAGUUGUAUUGACCUUCAUCAGCUUGCUUCACUCUUUUCAGAAGUCUUCUUGAAUGCACUUUUCAGUUAACAAGUCAACAUCAAUUUCUUUUGUUGUAAAAGGGUAAUUGGAAGGUGGCUUGCGUUUCGGAUAAAGUGUUUAUAGCCUUAUACCUCUAGCAAUCGGAGAGAUUGAGGUCUGCAGCGUAGAUCCUUCGGGGCUAGAUGCACUUGUGCUAAGUUAUAGCUUUUCAUAGACAACUUGUUGACUAUGUUUAGUCAUGUAGCUUACCCGCUUGUGCUAUUUUACCUACGCUUAGGAUGUUGAUCUACAGAGCGAGAGU